GAUGAAGAACGUAGCGAAAUGCGAUAAGUAAUGUGAAUUGCAGAAUUCAGUGAAUCAUCGAAUCUUUGAACGCACAUUGCGCCCCUUGGUAUUCCAUGGGGCAUGCCUGUUCGAGCGUCAUUUGUACCUUCAAGCUCUGCUUGGUGUUGGGUGUUUUGUCUCGCCUCUGCGUGUAGACUCGCCUUAAAACAAUUGGCAGCCGGCGUAUUGAUUUCGGAGCGCAGUACAUCUCGCGCUUUGCACUCAUAACGGCGACGUCCAAAAGUACAUUUUUACACUCUUGACCUCGGAUCAGGUAGGGAUACCCGCUGAACUUAAGCAUAUCAAUAAGCGGAGGA
rnacentral:misc_RNA from 1 species